rnacentral:rRNA from 1 species
AUUCACCGUGUUCGUACCAACAACCAGCACAGGUGCCCCUAGGUGAGUAGCCUCAGGCCUAUAGACAGAAUCGUGGUAAGGGAAUUCAGCAUAUUAGCCCUGUACCUUCGGUAUAAGGGGUCCCUGCUCAUGUUAACGCGUGCGCAGGGCUCAGUGACUAAGACGGUCCGACUGUUUAACAAAAACUUAACUUUACGCAAAGCGGUAACGCCUGGUAUGUAAAGUGAUGUCUGCCCAGUGCCUGCAAUUUAAACCCUUGUUCAAGAGGGCGAAGAUCAGGUAAACGGCGGGAGUAACUAUAACUCUCUUAAGGUAGCGAAAUACCUUGUCGUUUGAAUGACGACGUGCAUGAAUGGCAUAACGAGAUCGUCACUGUCCCUACCGCGAAGUCUCCGAACACUCUUUCCUGGUGCAAAGGCCAGGGAGUCCCAGUGGGAAGUGAAGACCCCGUGAAACUUUACUGUAGCCUGCUGCUGCGGCGCGUGUUCUACUGUGUAGCAUAGAUAGGAGUCAUCGAAGGAUCGUCGUCAGGCGAUCUGGAGACAUCAGUGAAAUACUAUCCUGUAGCACAUGCGCCGCUCACUCGAAAGAGGACACCAGUUGGUGGACAGUUUGACUGGGAUGGUACUCUGCUGAAAAUGUAUCAGUAGAGCCCAAAGGUCAGCUCAGACGGGUCAGAAAUCCGUCGUAGAGUGCAAGAGCAUAAGCUGGCCUGACUGUGAUCUUACUAAGACGGAUCGCAGAGACGAAAGUCGGGUCUAGCGAACCUCUGUACCUCAUUGAUGGGGGUCAGAGAUAACCGAAAAGUUACUCCGGGGAUAAUUGAGUUGUCCCGCCCGAGAGCUCAUAUCGACGGCGGGGCUUGCUACAUCGAUGUCGGCUCAUCCUAUCCUGGCUGUGCAGAAGCAGCCAAGGGUGGGGGUGUUCACCCAUUAAAAGGGUUCGUGAGCUGGGUUCAGAACGCUGUGAGGCAGUUUGUUUAAUAUCUACUGGGACUGUGAGAUGUCUGAGGGGAAGGACCAUCUAGUACGAGAGGAACGGUGGUUCGUGGCCUCUGGUGUACCAGUUGUCCGACAGGGCAGGCUGGGCAGCUACGCCAUACGAUGAUAAGCACUGAAAGCAUCUAAGUGCGAAGCAUCCCUCGAAAAGAGACAUCAUAGGACACGGAAAGAAGAUCCGUUCGAUAGGCGCGGCGUGUACGCACCGAGCUUUACGCGAGGUGUUCAGCGUGCGCGUACUAACGUCCAUACCAGUUCG